GGGGCUGUGGCUCUGGGGCAGAGCAUCUGCUUAGUAUGCGGAAAGUCCUGGGUUCAAUCCCUCGUGUCUCCA
rnacentral:tRNA from 1 species